CGGGGACAAUGGUGUGUUUGGCAGAGUCUAUUUUAAAGGAUAACUACAGACUCUUGGUUCAACCCACAGCUCUGGGAAGCCUCGGGGGAGAGGUUUAGUCCGACCCCUCACAGGACACCUUUACGAAACGUCUCUCGCCCUCUGGCAGUAUGCAGGCAGACAGUUCUCAGCUAAAAUGGUCAAGACAGCCGGGUGCCUUCCCUCCACUGGGGUUAGUAUGAGGCUACUGGAGAUGUCAGGAGGAAACAUCUUGUUUAAGAAGCAGCCUGGCAGGCUGGCCAUAUCUGAUUACCCAGAGGCCACUUCCGAAAGACUGGAAACGUCUAUUGGAGGCCUGGAAGCAUACCCCUUCAGUUCUUCAUAUAUUCCAGAGAAGAGAUGCCACUACCACCGUCAGUAAUCCCAAAUAUCUGCUUUGUGUUGGGAGAGGAACAAAACUGAGCACCUGACGAUUGCUGGUCUGGGUCUUCUAGGACAGCAAACAUCCCCAGUAAGAAUGCUUUAAGACUGGGGCAGAGCAUCCUCUUCAAGUCCAGGUAGCCACCUCCCCAUCACCAACCUGGGAAAGAAAAGAUUGCAUCCUCCUCCCCAACACCUUUCUUUCAGGCUGUACUUUCUCCAUCCUCUGAUUCCAAGCCCCUCUACUGCUGGCCCUUCCCCAGCUGCUCUGGAGUCUGUGGCUUAAUACAGAGACCUGAAUCAGAAGUGCCAGACAGUGAAUUCAGUUCUGGGGCCAAGAAGCUAUUUGUUCUUGGGUGAGUUCCACAGUCUCUCUGGGCCAUUCUUUCAUCUUCUGCAACACGGAGAUCUAGAGGACAGCACUGUUCUCAGGAUUAUACGAAAUGAUUCGUAGGAAGUGAGUCACUUAGAGUCUACGUAUCGAGCGUGCUCAUAAUAGUGAACCACACAGUGUGAGCGAAUAAACAGGCAGACAAACUCGGGUGACUAUUUCUGAAAGGGGUGCUUACUGAAGGUUGACGAUUUUGUUCUACUACAUUAAGAAGCCAUUAAACGAUGUUCUACGUGGUACACAGUGCAUCUCUGUGCUGUACAUUGAUUCUCUUGCUGCUGUGCUGGGAGAUGGAAGUGGAAGCAGGGCCUAUAAGGGAGAGGACCAGUUUGGAAACUGACAUCAGUGGAGAUCUAAUAAGAACCUGUACACAGUAACUGCCAGAGGCACAUAGCUUGUUCCAGAGUCUCGGGCUACUAUAGGUGUGAAGCCCAUUUAUGAAUGAGGAAAUCAGGUCACCCAAGGCCCCUGAGAAGUCAGAAUCCCCCACAUUCAUU